rfam:Ciona savignyi cont_36273, whole genome shotgun sequence.
UUUAAUCCACCAUUCCAGAUUGAAUAUACCCGAUCUCGUCUGAUCUCGGAAGUCAAGCAAUCUCGGGCUUGGUUAGUACUUGGAUAGGUGACCGCAUGGGAAUACCAAGUGUGAUAAGCA